CGGGAUGGAUGCCCACGGAUCCCUGUUCCCGCAGGUUUACGGGAUCCUGCUGCUGCAGCUCCUGCUCACCACGGGGGUCGUGGCCUUGUUCACCUUCUGUGAUCCCGUCAAGAGCUACAUCCAGACCCACCCCGCCUGGUACUGGGCUUCCUACGGCGUUUUCUUCCUCACCUACCUGAUCCUGGCCUGCUGCUCCGGCCCCAGGAGACGCUUCCCAUGGAAUCUGAUCCUGCUCGGAAUCUUCGUGAGUGGCAAAAUCCGGGAACAUCCGGGGGGAUCCAUCCAAGGGCACACGGGGAAUUCCCGUGGAAAACGGGAAUCUCCACCUGGGA